rnacentral:lncRNA from 1 species
CGCUUGAGUGGAAAGACUAAAUUUGCCAUUCCUUUGGAUUGAAAAUAAGAAAACAAAGAUCGAACGAAACCGACCGUCCCUAGUGCAAAUGGCAAAGGGCUUGGUGGUUGGUACCCGAGAUCCCAAGUUCGAAUCCUAGUUGAUUUACAUUUCAAGCUAAGUUUAUUUCUAAAUGAAAUAAACGAAGCGGAUAGCAUGCUAUCUACUUCUCAAAAAAAAAAAAAAAAAAAAAAAGAUUGAACAAAGACGAAGCCAAUUCACCAGAAUCAAUUCAACUAUGGCCUCUCAACUUAGGAGAGGAGAAAGGUGUGCGAUCAAUUAAAAAAAAUAAAAGAAGUAAGGAGCGCUAUAUAAAGUCGCCUUCCAACUAACAUAACACUAGUACUCCACAUCUCGUUUAUACCCCAAAUCACUAAACUACACCAAACCAUAGCAUCCCUAAUCCCUAUAAUUGAGUAAGCUAGAUCUCUCACAUCAAUGCAUUUGUACUUAUGAUUAUAUUAACAACAAAUAUUAACAUAAUAGCGCAAGCUAUGAGUUAUGAAUUACAGGUGUGUUGUCAAAUAAUUUUUCCUCGAUUGCCUCAUGUC